rnacentral:rRNA from 1 species
GAUGAACGCUGGCGGCAUGCCUAAUACAUGCAAGUCGAACGCAAUCGAAUCUUCGGAUUCAAUGAUUGAGUGGCGAACGGGUGAGUAACACGUAAGAAACCUGCCCUUAGGACGAGGAUAACUAUUGGAAACGAUAGCUAAUACUGGAUAGUAUAUUUGAUCGCAUGGUCGAAUAUUUAAAGAAGCUCUCAAGCUUCACCUUUGGAUGGUCUUGCGCUGUAUUAGCUAGUUGGUAAGGUAACGGCUUACCAAGGCGACGAUACAUAGCUGGUCUGAGAGGACGAACAGCCACACUGGGACUGAGACACGGCCCAGACUCCUACGGGAGGCAGCAGUAGGGAAUUUUCGGCAAUGGGCGAAAGCCUGACCGAGCAAUGCCGCGUGAACGAUGAAGGCCUUCGGGUCGUAAAGUUCUGUUAUUUGGGAAGAACACGUAGUUUAGGAAAUGACUCUACGUUGACGGUACCUUAUCAGAAAGCUCCGGCUAACUACGUG